GCGGUCACGAGUACGGCCCCAUUGAGGUCUGGGUACUUAUCGCUGCUAUUAUAUAGAGGUAUGCGGCCCCGGCCGACAUCGUACCACUUUUCAAUUUGUGGUGUCCGGGUGCGUUUUGUGCGAUUCACGCACUGCGGCGACGUCGGGAAUUGCGCCGACGAGUACGCGACCGCUCGCAGAGACAAAGUCCGAAAGCUCGUCAGCCGGGGCGGCGCGCGCAAGCGACGUUCAGCGCAACUUUUCCGUGGAAAUAACGAAAGCGGCUCGCACGUUUGCCUUGUAUCGGUGAGCUGGGGCACCGUGGUGCACGCGAGAGUGGAAACACGGCUUGAAAAGCAAAAAUGAGGAAUUUCUUUCGGCGCUAACUGCCGCCGGCGGCCACGAGUACGGCCCCAUGGAGGUCUGGGUACUUAUCGCUGCUAUUAUAUAGAGGUAUGCGGCCCCGGCCGACAUCGUACCACUUUUCAAUUUGUGGUGUCCGGUUGCGUUUUGUGCGAUUCACGCACUGCGGCGACGUCGGGAAUUGCGCCGACGAGUACGCGACCGCUCGCAGAGACAAAGUCCGAAAGCUCGUCAGCCGGGGCGGCGCGCGCAGCGACGUUCAGCGCAACUUUUCCGUGGAAAUACCGAAAGCGGCUCGCACGUUUGCCUUGUAUCGGUGAGCUGGGGCACCGUGGUGCACGC